GCGCAGCCUGAUCAGCCAUGCCGCGUGAGUGAUGAAGGCCCUAGGGUUGUAAAGCUCUUUCAGCGAGGAGGAUAAUGACGUUACUCGCAGAAGAAGCCCCGGCUAACUUCGUGCCAGCAGCCGCGGUAAUACGAAGGGGGCUAGCGUUGUUCGGAAUCACUGGGCGUAAAGCGCACGUAGGCGGACUGAUCAGUCAGGGGUGAAAUCCCGGGGCUCAACCCCGGAACUGCCUUUGAUACUGUCAGUCUUGAGUCCGAGAGAGGUGAGUGGAACUCCGAGUGUAGAGGUGAAAUUCGUAGAUAUUCGGAAGAACACCAGUGGCGAAGGCGGCUCACUGGCUCGGUACUGACGCUGAGGUGCGAAAGCGUGGGGAGCAAACAGGAUUAGAUACCCCGGUAGUCA
rnacentral:rRNA from 1 species